CGCGGGAGCUGCGGCAGAGACUGUGGGUGCCACAAGCGGACAGGCGGCCACAGCUGGGACAGCUGCGAGCGGAGCGGUGGCUGUAGCGGCCAGGACCGGGAGCAGUCGCCGCCGCCUCCUCGGGAGUCGGAGUCGCCGCUUCUCCACUGGCAGGGGCCGCCUGAAGUGGGAGCAGCGCCUGGAGAAGGCGGGAGGAGCCCGGCCUGGGGGACUGGCGGCAGGAGAGCGGGACCCCGGCUGCGCGGUGCGCUUCAGGGCGCAGCGGCGGCCGCAGACCUAGCCCUGGGCGCAGCAGGAGGCGGCGGGAGCCGGCGGCGGCUCGGCAUCAUGCGGCGAGGGGGCCUGCUGGAGAUCGUCCUGGGAUUUACCGUGCUUUUAGCGUCCUACACGAGCCACGGGGCGGACGCCAAUUUGGAGGCUGGGAACGUGAAGGAAACCAGAGCCAGUCGGGCCAAGAGAAGAGGAGGCGGAGGACACGACGCACUUAAAGGACCCAAUGUCUGUGGAUCACGUUAUAAUGCCUACUGUUGCCCUGGUUGGAAAACCUUACCUGGUGGAAAUCAGUGUAUUGUCCCCAUUUGCCGGCAUUCCUGUGGGGAUGGAUUUUGUUCGAGGCCAAAUAUGUGCACUUGCCCAUCUGGUCAGAUAGCUCCUUCCUGUGGCUCCAGAUCCAUACAACACUGCAGCAUUCGCUGUUUGAAUGGAGGUAGCUGCAGUGACGAUCACUGUCUGUGCCAGAAAGGAUACAUAGGGACUCACUGCGGACAACCUGUUUGUGAAAGUGGCUGUCUCAAUGGAGGAAGGUGUGUGGCCCCAAAUCGAUGUGCAUGCACUUACGGCUUUACAGGACCCCAGUGUGAAAGAGAUUACAGGACAGGCCCAUGUUUUACUGUGGUCAGCAACCAGAUGUGCCAGGGACAACUCAGCGGGAUUGUCUGCACAAAAACGCUCUGCUGUGCCACAGUCGGCCGAGCCUGGGGCCACCCCUGUGAGAUGUGUCCUGCCCAGCCUCACCCCUGCCGCCGUGGCUUUAUUCCAAAUAUCCGCACGGGAGCUUGUCAAGAUGUGGAUGAAUGCCAGGCCAUCCCCGGGCUCUGUCAAGGAGGAAAUUGCAUUAAUACUGUUGGGUCUUUUGAGUGCAAAUGCCCUGCUGGACACAAAUUUAAUGAAGUGUCACAAAAAUGUGAAGAUAUUGAUGAAUGCAGCACAAUUCCUGGAAUCUGUGAUGGGGGCGAAUGUACAAACACAGUCAGCAGUUACUUUUGCAAAUGUCCCCCUGGUUUUUACACCUCUCCAGAUGGUACCAGAUGCAUAGAUGUUCGCCCAGGAUACUGUUACACAGCUCUGGCAAAUGGGCGCUGCUCUAACCAGCUGCCACAGUCCAUAACCAAGAUGCAGUGCUGCUGCGAUGCCGGCAGAUGCUGGUCUCCAGGGGUCACUGUCGCCCCUGAGAUGUGUCCUAUCAGAGCAACCGAGGAUUUCAACAAGCUGUGCUCUGUUCCUAUGGUUAUUCCUGGGAGACCAGAAUAUCCUCCCCCACCCCUUGGCCCCAUUCCUCCAGUUCUCCCUGUUCCUCCUGGCUUUCCUUCUGGACCUCAAAUUCCGGUCCCUCGACCACCAGUGGAAUAUCCGUAUCCAUCUCGGGAACCACCAAGGGUGCUGCCAGUCAACGUCACUGAUUACUGCCAGUUGGUCCGUUAUCUCUGUCAAAAUGGACGCUGCAUUCCAACUCCUGGGAGUUACCGGUGUGAGUGCAACAAAGGCUUCCAGCUGGACCUCCGUGGAGAGUGUAUUGAUGUUGAUGAAUGUGAGAAAAACCCCUGUGCUGGUGGUGAGUGUAUUAACAACCAGGGUUCGUAUACCUGUCAGUGCCGAGCUGGAUAUCAGAGCACACUCACCCGGACAGAAUGCCGAGACAUUGAUGAAUGUUUACAGAAUGGCCGGAUCUGCAAUAAUGGACGCUGCAUCAACACGGAUGGCAGUUUUCAUUGCGUGUGUAAUGCGGGCUUUCACGUUACACGAGAUGGGAAGAACUGUGAAGAUAUGGAUGAAUGCAGCAUAAGGAACAUGUGCCUUAAUGGAAUGUGUAUCAAUGAAGAUGGCAGUUUUAAAUGUAUUUGCAAACCUGGAUUCCAGCUGGCAUCAGAUGGACGUUAUUGCAAAGACAUUAACGAGUGCGAAACCCCUGGGAUCUGCAUGAAUGGGCGUUGUGUCAACACUGACGGCUCCUACAGAUGUGAAUGCUUCCCGGGACUGGCUGUGGGUCUGGAUGGACGUGUGUGUGUUGACACACACAUGCGGAGCACAUGCUAUGGUGGAUACAAAAGAGGCCAGUGUAUCAAACCUUUGUUUGGUGCUGUCACUAAAUCUGAAUGCUGUUGUGCCAGCACUGAGUAUGCCUUUGGGGAACCUUGCCAGCCGUGUCCUGCACAGAAUUCAGCGGAAUAUCAGGCACUCUGCAGCAGUGGGCCGGGGAUGACGUCUGCAGGCAGUGAUAUAAAUGAAUGUGCACUAGAUCCUGAUAUUUGCCCAAAUGGAAUCUGUGAAAACCUUCGUGGAACCUAUAAAUGCAUAUGCAAUUCAGGAUAUGAAGUGGAUUCAACUGGGAAAAACUGUGUUGAUAUUAAUGAAUGUGUACUGAACAGUCUCCUUUGUGACAAUGGACAGUGUAGAAAUACUCCUGGAAGUUUUGUCUGUACCUGCCCCAAGGGAUUUAUCUACAAACCUGACCUAAAAACAUGUGAAGACAUUGAUGAAUGCGAAUCAAGUCCUUGCAUUAAUGGAGUCUGCAAGAACAGCCCAGGCUCUUUUAUUUGUGAAUGUUCUUCUGAAAGUACUUUGGAUCCAACAAAAACCAUCUGCAUAGAAACCAUCAAGGGCACUUGCUGGCAGACUGUCACCAUUGAUGGGCGGUGUGAGAUCAACAUCAAUGGAGCCACCUUAAAGUCCCAGUGCUGCUCCUCCCUCGGUGCUGCAUGGGGGAGUCCGUGCACCCCAUGCCAAGUUGAUCCCAUAUGUGGUAAAGGGUACUCAAGAAUUAAAGGAACACAAUGUGAAGAUAUUGAUGAAUGUGAAGUAUUCCCAGGAGUGUGCAAAAAUGGCCUGUGUGUUAACACUAGGGGGUCAUUCAAGUGUGAGUGUCCCAAUGGAAUGACUCUGGAUGCCACAGGAAGGAUCUGUCUGGACAUCCGCCUGGAAACCUGCUACCUGAGGUAUGAGGACGAGGAGUGCACCCUGCCUAUUGCUGGCCGCCACCGCAUGGACGCCUGCUGCUGCUCUGUCGGGGCAGCCUGGGGUACUGAGGAAUGCGAGGAGUGUCCCAUGAGAAAUACUCCUGAGUAUGAGGAGCUGUGUCCCAGAGGACCCGGAUUUGCCACAAAAGAAAUUACAAAUGGAAAACCUUUCUUCAAAGAUAUCAAUGAGUGCAAGAUGAUACCCAGCCUCUGCACCCACGGCAAGUGCAGAAACACCAUCGGCAGCUUUAAAUGCAGGUGUGACAGUGGCUUUGCUCUUGAUUCUGAAGAAAGGAACUGCACAGACAUUGACGAAUGCCGCAUAUCUCCUGACCUCUGUGGCAGAGGCCAGUGUGUGAACACCCCUGGGGACUUUGAAUGCAAAUGUGACGAAGGCUAUGAAAGUGGAUUCAUGAUGAUGAAGAACUGCAUGGAUAUCGAUGAGUGUCAGAGAGAUCCUCUCCUAUGCCGAGGUGGUGUGUGCCACAAUACAGAGGGAAGUUACCGCUGUGAAUGUCCGCCUGGCCAUCAGCUGUCCCCCAACAUCUCUGCAUGUAUCGACAUCAAUGAGUGUGAGCUGAGUGCACACCUGUGCCCCAAUGGCCGCUGUGUGAAUCUCAUAGGGAAGUAUCAGUGUACCUGCAACCCUGGCUACCAUUCAACUCCUGAUAGGCUAUUUUGUGUUGACAUUGAUGAAUGCAGCAUAAUGAACGGUGGUUGUGAAACCUUCUGCACAAACUCUGAAGGCAGCUAUGAAUGUAGCUGUCAGCCGGGUUUUGCGCUAAUGCCUGACCAGAGAUCGUGCACCGACAUCGAUGAGUGUGAAGAUAAUCCCAAUAUCUGUGAUGGUGGUCAGUGUACAAAUAUCCCUGGAGAGUACAGGUGCUUGUGUUAUGAUGGAUUCAUGGCAUCUGAAGACAUGAAGACUUGUGUAGAUGUCAAUGAGUGUGACCUGAAUCCAAAUAUCUGCCUAAGUGGAACCUGUGAAAACACAAAAGGCUCAUUUAUCUGCCACUGUGAUAUGGGCUACUCUGGCAAGAAAGGAAAAACUGGCUGUACAGACAUCAAUGAAUGUGAAAUUGGAGCACACAACUGUGGCAGACAUGCUGUAUGUACCAACACAGCAGGAAGCUUCAAAUGUAGCUGCAGUCCUGGGUGGAUUGGAGAUGGCAUUAAGUGCUCUGAUCUGGAUGAAUGUUCCAAUGGAACUCACAUGUGCAGCCAGCAUGCAGACUGCAAGAAUACCAUGGGAUCUUACCGCUGUCUGUGCAAGGAAGGAUACACGGGCGAUGGCUUCACUUGUACAGACCUUGAUGAGUGCUCCGAGAAUCUGAAUCUCUGUGGCAAUGGCCAGUGCCUCAAUGUCCCAGGAGGAUACCGCUGUGAAUGCGACAUGGGCUUCGUGCCCAGUGCUGACGGGAAAGCCUGUGAAGAUAUCGAUGAGUGCUCCCUUCCGAACAUCUGUGUCUUUGGAACCUGCCACAACCUCCCUGGCCUGUUCCGCUGUGAGUGUGAGAUAGGCUAUGAACUGGACAGGAGCGGCGGGAACUGCACAGAUGUUAAUGAAUGCCUGGAUCCAACCACGUGCAUCAGUGGGAACUGUAUCAACACUCCAGGCAGCUAUACCUGUGACUGCCCACCUGAUUUUGAGCUGAAUCCAACUCGAGUUGGCUGUGUGGAUACCCGCUCUGGAAAUUGCUAUUUGGAUAUUCGACCUCGAGGAGACAAUGGAGAUACAGCCUGCAGCAAUGAAAUUGGAGUUGGGGUUUCCAAAGCUUCCUGCUGCUGUUCUCUGGGUAAAGCCUGGGGUACUCCUUGUGAGAUGUGCCCCGCUGUGAACACAUCUGAGUACAAAAUUCUUUGUCCUGGAGGGGAAGGUUUUCGACCAAAUCCUAUCACAGUUAUAUUGGAAGAUAUUGAUGAGUGCCAGGAGCUACCAGGGCUGUGCCAAGGGGGGAAAUGUAUCAACACCUUCGGGAGUUUCCAGUGCCGCUGUCCAACCGGCUACUACCUGAAUGAAGAUACACGAGUGUGUGAUGAUGUGAAUGAAUGUGAGACUCCUGGAAUCUGUGGUCCAGGGACAUGUUACAACACCGUUGGCAACUACACCUGUAUUUGUCCUCCAGAUUACAUGCAAGUGAAUGGGGGAAAUAAUUGCAUGGAUAUGAGAAGGAGUUUGUGCUACAGAAACUACUAUGCUGACAACCAGACCUGUGAUGGAGAACUGUUAUUCAACAUGACCAAGAAGAUGUGCUGUUGUUCCUACAACAUUGGCCGGGCCUGGAAUAAGCCCUGUGAGCAGUGUCCCAUCCCAAGUACAGAUGAAUUUGCUACACUAUGUGGAAGUCAAAGGCCAGGCUUUGUCAUCGACAUUUAUACCGGUUUACCUGUUGAUAUUGAUGAGUGCCGGGAGAUCCCAGGGGUCUGUGAAAAUGGAGUUUGUAUCAACAUGGUUGGCAGCUUCCGAUGUGAAUGUCCAGUGGGAUUCUUCUACAAUGACAAGUUGUUGGUCUGUGAAGAUAUUGAUGAGUGUCAGAACGGCCCAGUGUGCCAGCGCAAUGCCGAAUGCAUCAACACUGCGGGCAGCUACCGCUGCGACUGUAAGCCCGGCUACCGCUUCACUUCCACGGGACAGUGCAAUGAUCGUAAUGAAUGUCAAGAAAUCCCCAACAUAUGCAGUCAUGGGCAGUGCAUUGACACGGUUGGAAGUUUUUAUUGCAUUUGCCACACUGGUUUUAAAACAAAUGCUGACCAAACCAUGUGCUUGGACAUAAAUGAAUGUGAAAGAGAUGCCUGUGGGAAUGGAACUUGCCGGAACACAAUUGGUUCCUUCAACUGCCGCUGCAAUCAUGGUUUCAUCUUGUCUCACAACAAUGACUGCAUAGAUGUUGAUGAAUGUGCAAGUGGAAACGGGAAUCUUUGCAGAAAUGGCCAAUGCAUUAAUACAGUCGGCUCUUUCCAGUGUCAGUGCAAUGAUGGCUAUGAGGUGGCUCCAGAUGGGAGGACCUGUGUGGAUAUCAAUGAAUGUCUUCUAGAACCAGGAAAAUGUGCACCAGGUACCUGUCAAAACUUGGAUGGGUCCUACAGAUGCAUUUGUCCACCUGGAUACAGUCUUCAAAAGGACAAGUGUGAAGAUAUUGAUGAGUGUGUUGAAGAGCCAGAAAUUUGUGCCCUGGGCACAUGCAGUAACACUGAAGGCAGCUUCAAAUGUCUGUGUCCAGAAGGGUUUUCCUUGUCCUCCACUGGAAGAAGGUGCCAAGAUUUGCGAAUGAGCUACUGUUACGCAAAGUUUGAAGGAGGAAAGUGUUCAUCACCCAAAUCCAGAAAUCACUCCAAGCAGGAAUGCUGCUGUGCGUUGAAGGGAGAAGGCUGGGGAGACCCCUGCGAACUGUGCCCCACUGAACCUGAUGAGGCCUUCCGCCAGAUCUGUCCUUACGGAAGUGGGAUCAUCGUGGGACCUGAUGAUUCAGCAGUUGAUAUGGAUGAAUGCAAAGAACCCGAUGUCUGUAAACAUGGGCAGUGCAUCAAUACAGAUGGCUCCUAUCGCUGCGAGUGUCCCUUUGGUUAUAUUCUAGCAGGGAACGAAUGUGUGGAUACUGAUGAAUGUUCUGUGGGCAAUCCUUGUGGAAAUGGAACGUGCAAGAAUGUGAUUGGAGGUUUCGAAUGCACCUGUGAGGAGGGAUUUGAGCCGGGUCCAAUGAUGACAUGUGAAGAUAUAAAUGAAUGUGCCCAGAAUCCUCUGCUCUGUGCCUUCCGAUGUGUGAACACUUAUGGAUCAUAUGAAUGCAAAUGUCCUGUGGGAUAUGUUCUCAGAGAAGACCGUAGGAUGUGCAGAGACGAGGAUGAGUGUGAGGAGGGAAAACAUGACUGUACUGAAAAACAAAUGGAAUGCAAGAACCUCAUUGGCACAUACAUGUGCAUCUGUGGACCCGGGUAUCAGCGGAGACCUGAUGGAGAAGGCUGUGUAGAUGAGAAUGAAUGUCAGACGAAGCCAGGGAUCUGUGAGAAUGGGCGCUGUCUCAACACCCGUGGAAGCUACACCUGCGAGUGUAAUGAUGGGUUCACUGCCAGCCCCAACCAGGACGAGUGCCUUGACGUCAUCCUUUCUCUUUUACUGCUGUCUCCAGCUUUCCCCUCUUGCUCCUUCUCACCCAGGACAAUCGGGAAGGGUACUGCUUCACAGAGGUGCUACAAAACAUGUGUCAGAUCGGCUCCAGCAACAGGAACCCCGUCACCAAAUCUGAAUGCUGCUGUGAUGGAGGGAGAGGCUGGGGUCCCCACUGUGAGAUCUGCCCUUUCCAGGGGACUGUGGCUUUCAAGAAACUUUGUCCCCAUGGCCGAGGAUUCAUGACCAACGGAGCAGAUAUCGAUGAAUGCAAGGUUAUCCAUGAUGUUUGCCGGAAUGGGGAAUGUGUCAAUGACAGAGGAUCAUAUCAUUGCAUUUGUAAAACUGGGUACACUCCAGAUAUCACUGGGACUUCCUGUGUAGAUCUGAACGAGUGCAACCAGGCUCCCAAACCCUGCAAUUUUAUCUGCAAAAACACAGAAGGGAGUUACCAGUGUUCAUGCCCGAAGGGCUACAUUCUGCAAGAGGAUGGAAGGAGCUGCAAAGAUCUUGAUGAGUGUGCCACCAAGCAGCACAACUGCCAGUUCCUCUGUGUUAACACCAUCGGUGGCUUCACGUGCAAAUGUCCUCCUGGAUUUACCCAACACCAUACGGCCUGCAUUGAUAACAACGAAUGCACCUCUGACAUCAAUCUGUGUGGGUCUAAGGGCAUUUGCCAGAACACUCCUGGAAGCUUCACCUGUGAAUGCCAGCGGGGAUUCUCACUUGAUCAGACUGGCUCCAGCUGUGAAGACGUGGACGAGUGUGAGGGCAACCACCGCUGCCAGCAUGGCUGCCAGAACAUCAUCGGGGGCUACAGGUGCAGCUGCCCCCAGGGCUACCUCCAGCACUACCAGUGGAACCAGUGUGUUGAUGAAAACGAAUGCCUCAGCACCCACAUUUGCGGAGGAGCCUCCUGUCACAACACUCUGGGGAGCUACAAGUGCAUGUGUCCCGCCGGCUUCCAGUAUGAGCAGUUCAGUGGAGGAUGCCAGGACAUCAAUGAAUGUGGCUCUUCACAGGCCCCCUGCAGCUACGGCUGUUCCAAUACUGAGGGUGGUUACCUGUGCGGCUGUCCACCUGGUUACUUCCGCAUAGGCCAAGGGCACUGUGUUUCUGGAAUGGGCAUGGGCCGAGGAAACCCAGAGCCACCUGUCAGUGGUGAGAUGGAUGACAAUUCACUCUCCCCAGAGGCUUGUUACGAGUGUAAGAUCAAUGGCUACCCCAAACGGGGCAGGAAACGGAGAAGCACAAAUGAAACUGAUGUCUCCCAUAUCGAGGAUCAGUCUGAGACAGAAGCUAAUGUGAGCCUUGCAAGUUGGGAUGUUGAGAAGACGGCCAUCUUUGCUUUCAAUAUUUCCCACAUUAGUAACAAGGUUCGAAUCCUAGAACUCCUUCCAGCUCUUACAACUCUGACAAAUCACAACAGAUACUUGAUCAAAUCUGGAAAUGAAGAUGGCUUCUUUAAAAUCAACCAAAAAGAAGGGAUCAGCUACCUCCACUUCACAAAGAAGCAGCCAGUGGCUGGAACCUAUUCAUUACAAAUCAGUAGUACUCCACUUUAUAAAAAGAAAGAACUUAACCAGCUAGAAGACAAAUAUGACAAAGACUACCUCAGUGGUGAACUGGGUGAUAAUCUGAAGAUGAAAAUCCAGAUUUUGCUUCAUUAAUUCACCAUCCAGAGACCAAAUAAUUAAAAGAAAAAUAUAGAUAGGUAGAACUAUAUUUUCCCCCAAUCAGAAUCAUCAUAUCAUAGGUACAGUCUUUCACCAAGUAAAUUUGUAUAAAUAAGCACUAUUCUUGUAUUACCAAAGCAAGGUACAGGUGACUACCCUAGUUCAAAACAACCACUUUCUCAGGCUUCUCGUGUGUGUAGCUAAGCUACCUUGUCAUAUGUGUUGAUUCUUGAAAACUGGGACAUGUAUUUCCAUUGGGGGUUGGCCAUUUAUGCUGACAUGCCAUCCUUCCAGCAAACGUACAGGAAUGUGCUUUCAAUUGAUGGACUACUCUUUUUUUUUUUUUGCAAAUUUGUAAACUUUGCUUCUCCAAAUACAAGUACUAGGUUGCCCAUUUAUGAUAUCUAUUUGGUGCUAGUCAAUUUUCAAACUAGAUUUAUAAAUGCACUGUAAUAUUUACACAACUUAGAAACCAAAUUACAAAUAUUCAGUUCCAAUACUUCAUUAAUUUCAAUCAACCAAAGUUAGUUCAGUAGCUUCUCUCAGUUAUGAGUAUAAUACAUUACAUGUAAAUUAAGUGUGUGUAUACUGUAAUCGUGCUAUUUUUUAUCAUUGAAACAUUUAUAAACUAGAAUAAUAAUGCCCUUAAUGUGAGGGUUUGUAAUGGUGCUUAUUAAGACCAAAGACUUGUUAAAUGUAUACACCAAGUGGUAAUGAAAUUUCUGUGACUGGCCCACACGUGCAUAGAGGUCUGGGAGGACCAGGAAACAGCCUCAGUGGCCAGAGGAUCACCAGUGCAUCCUUCAUCACAGCAUGUGCAAUAUGCCAAGAUUACCCUCGGUCAUUCCUGUCAACAAAGGGUCAAUGUCAUAAAUGUCACAAUAAAACAAUCUCUUCUUUUUUUUAGUUUAC